AUGUGGGAGGAAUGCUUGCCUCAUAUUGAAUUUUCUUAUAAUCGUUCAUUGCAUUCUACUACUAAGAUGUGCCCUUUUGAAGUUGUGUAUGGUUUCCUACCUCAUGCACCUAUUGAUUUGUUGCCUCUUCCAUCUUCGGAGAAGGUUAAUUUUGAUGCUAAACAACGUGCUGAAUUGAUUUUAAAAAUGCAUGAGUUAACUAAGGAAAACAUUGAGCGCAUGAAUGCUAAAUAUAAACUUGCUGGAGAUAAGGGUAGAAAACAUGUUGUGUUUGCACCUGGAGAUCUUGUUUGGUUACAUUUGCGUAAGGAUAGAUUUCCUGAUUUGCGCAAAUCAAAGUUAAUGCCACGUGCUGAUGGUCCCUUUAAGGUGUUAGAGAAAAUAAAUGAUAAUGCAUAUAAACUUGAGCUGCCUGCAGAUUUUGGGGUUAGUCCCACUUUUAACAUUGCGGAUUUGAAGCCUUAUUUGGGUGAGGAAGAUGAACUUCCGUCGAGGACGACUUCAUUUCAAGAAGGGGAGGAUGAUGAGGACAUCAAUACAAUUGUUACACCCACAGCCCCUGCUGCUAUACAUACUGGACCAAUUACUAGAGCUCGUGCACGCCAACUAAAUUACCAGGAAACAGACCCUCGUGGUCAGGUUGAUCGUGCUCCGGCGUGGUCAAUAACCUCUCAGAGUUGGUUUAGCGAUUGCUAA
rnacentral:rRNA from 1 species